UCACUAAAACAAAUUCCUAGUAUGUCCUGGCUCUUUCUGAUUCUGAUUCUGAUCAACAGGGGGCGCGAUGCUCCAUUUUCACUUUCAACCAAAAAUCAACCAAGGAAGAGCGCUAUUGAACACGCGCGGGAACAACAACCGUUUCUCGGCAACAGGCAACGUGCUCACAGCCUUCUUCAGGACUCUCUAAAACAACCAGAUUAACUAUUAUAAUGCUGCUGCUGCUGCAGAAAACACCGAAGAACAGAAAAUACCGAUUAAGACCAUUUAAUUCUGGCGACAUUUUAACAAAAAAGAAGAAAAUUAGUGGAUUUCAUUCAUUUCCUUCUUGCAGCAGCUGACACAAAUUUCAUGAGAAGGGAAGGAAUUAUUUAAAAGGUAUUUAAAAGGUGGCAUUUUUGUCUGUAUCUGGAGGCCAUUGCUAAGAGUCUGGGGACUUCUUUGCUGCCAUCGUGGAGCUGAUGAGUCUGGAAUAAAACGUUCAGUGGAAGAAACGUCACCAGUAUUCAAUGUCCAAAGCUCUGUCCGUCCAUGGUGGUGAUCCUGAAGUUGUUUUCUUCACACAGAUGAUCAUUUUUGAUGAAUUGAUGACCAGUAGAUGACCAGAAGAAUUCUUGGACCUACAUUUGGAGCCAAGUUUAAAGACUGAGAAGAUUUAUGUACUUCCCCUCAAAUCUGCCUGACGUCCCACCGACAUACUGGCAGAAUGUGAUGUGUUCUGGCCAAGGUACUUUAUUACUACUGUGCACUCAGGAGAAGACACCAUUAGGGCUGUGCCAAUGGAUGAUAUCAUCGUCCAUCAUGAUGGCUGACCGACAUCACGAUGGAGAGACACCAUCGUGAUGCCACGCCCCUGCCCCGGCCCCACUCUGCUUCGAGUCUUGCGAGUCGACACCAUAAACUGUAAAUAAAUACACAUCCUAGUCUCUUCUAUAGACUAUAGUUAACCUAAAAUCUUUGCAGGAAUUGCUCUGUAAAUUAAAUUAAGAAUAUAACUAAUGCAUAUAUGCUAUUUUAAAUACUGUAGUCUAUGCCAGAGACAUGAUGUGUGUUAGUCUGUGAAAAUACUGUGUCAGGCAUUUGAUCUUGACAUUGUUAGAAUCUCGUCUUUUUACAUGUCUAACACUGUACAUUUAACUUAAAAUAUUUAAUUUUGUACAAGAAAACAGCCCUUAUUAAUGAAUUAUUAGUAGCCUAUUGUAGUGCCACGGGAGAUCAUGCUCAUUGUAGCUCUGUGGCUAUACUGCACUGAAGCGGCAGUUUAAGAUAUAAACACAGGACGCUACUUUUUUUUUUUCCUCUCAAGUGCAACCUAUUGGAAUGCCCGGAUGACGAAAUUAUAGUUUUUAAGAAGAAAAAAAUAUUUAUGUAAAGAGAUAUAUUAAAAUAAAAAGUGCUUAAAAGUGCACAACUCUUAAGUGGAGGAAAGCUACUUUUUCCCCUAUUGGAAAGCCCGGAUGGCAUUAGUUGGGUUAGUAAAAUAACGAAAUUAUAGCUUUUAAGUAGAAAAUAGUAUUUAUGUAAAGAAAUAUAUUAAAAUAAAAAGUGCACAACUCUUAAGUGGAAGGAAGCUACUUUUCCCCCCUCACGUGCAACCUAUUGGAAAGCGCGGAUGAGUCAUUAGUUGGGUUAGUAAAAUAACGAAAUUAUAGCUUUUAAGUAGAAAAAAAAAUUAUGUAAAGAGAUAUAUUAAAAUAAAAAGUGCUUAAAAGUGCACAACUCUUCUUAAGUAGAAGAAAGCUACUUUUUCCCCGUAUGUGCAACCUAUUGGAAAGCCCGGAUAUGGCAUUAGUUGGGUUAGUAAAAUAACGAAAUUAUAGACCACUUUGGAGCAGACGUCACAAUGACGUCACUUGCAGCUGCGCGCGCAUAGUGGUUGCAGAAAAAUAGCAGUAGCAAUUGGAGGAAAAUGUGCAAAAUCCACAGAAUAAGAGA